rnacentral:rRNA from 1 species
AUUGAACGCUGGCGGCAUGCUUUACACAUGCAAGUCGAACGGCAGCACGGGUGCUUGCACCUGGUGGCGAGUGGCGAAAGGGUGAGUAAUGCAUCGGAACGUAUCCAAUAAUGGGGGAUAACGCAUCGAAAGGUGUGCUAAUACCGCAUACGCUCUGAGGGGGAAAGUGGGGGACCGUAAGGCCUCACGAUAAUGGAGCGGCCGAUGCCUGAUUAGCUAGUUGGUGAGGUAAAGGCUCACCAAGGCGACGAUCAGUAGCUGGUCUGAGAGGAUGAUCAGCCACACUGGGACUGAGACACGGCCCAGACUCCUACGGGAGGCAGCAGUGGGGAAUUUUGGACAAUGGGGGCAACCCUGAUCCAGCCAUGCCGCGUGAGUGAAGAAGGCCUUCGGGUUGUAAAGCUCUUUCGCAAGGGAAGAAAACUUAACCAUUAAUACUGGUUGAGGAUGACGGUACCUUGAUAAGAAGCACCGGCUAACUACGUGCCAGCCGCCGCGGUAACAC